CGUCUAUAUACGUAUAGCAUAUCAAUAAGCGGAGGAAAAGAAACUAACAAGGAUUCCCUUAGUAACGGCGAGUGAAGCGGGAAGAGCUCAAAUUUGAAAUCUUCAAGGUUUUACCUUGACGAAUUGUAGUUUAAAGAAGUGUUUUCUGUUGGAGUUUUGGUAAAAGUUCUUUGGAAUAGGACAUCAUAGAGGGUGAGAAUCCCGUAUUUGACCAUUACUUUCCAGCUUUGUGAUACACUUUCAAAGAGUCGGAUUGUUUGGGAAUGCAGUCCAAAAUGGGUGGUAAAUUUCAUCUAAAGCUAAAUAUUGGCGAGAGACCGAUAGCGAACAAGUACCGUGAGGGAAAGAUGAAAAGAACUUUGAAAAGAGAGUUAAACAGUACGUGAAAUUGUCAAAAGGGAAGCGUUUGACACCAGUGUUGUUUUCUCGAAAAUCAAUUAAAGAAUGGCUUGAUGCUAGUUGUUAUGACUUUAUCAGCUUACUGUCUAGUUUUUCUUGUCUUUUUAAUGCACUUUUCGUUUAACAAGUCAACAUCAAUUUCUUUUGCUGUAAAAGGGUAAUGAGGAAGGUGGCUUAGCUUCGGUAUGAAGUGUUUAUAGCCUUUGCCUCUGCAGUCGGAGAGAUUGAGGUCUGCAGCGUAGACUCUUCGGGGUUAGAUACAUUUGUGCUAAGUUAUAGCCUUUUAUAGACAACUUGUUGACUAUGCUUUAGUCUUGUAGCUUACUCGCUGAUGCUAUUUUACCUACGCUUAGGAUGUUGAUAUGCAUGACUGAUAU
rnacentral:rRNA from 1 species